CAUAUCANAAGCGGAGGAAAGAAACUAACAAGGAUUCCCUUAGUAACGGCGAGUGAACCGGGAAGAGCUCAAAUUUGUAAUCUGGCGUCCUUCGGGCGUCCGAGUUGUAAUCUAUAGAGGUGUUUUCCGCGCCGGACCACGUUUAAGUCUCCUGGAACGGAGUAUCAAAGAGGGUGACAAUCCCGUGCUUGACGUGACGACCGGUGCUAUGUGAUACACUCUCAACGAGUCGAGUUGUUUGGGAAUGCAGCUCUAAACGGGUGGUAAAUUCCAUCUAAGGCUAAAUAUUGGCGAGAGACCGAUAGCGAACAAGUACCGUGAGGGAAAGAUGAAAAGCACUUUGGAAAGAGAGUUAAACAGCACGUGAAAUUGUUAAAAGGGAAACGAUUGAAGUCAGUCGUGCACUUGGUAUUCAGCCGUCUCUGGCGGUGUAUUUGCCUUGUGCGGGUCAACAUCAGUUCUGACCGGCGGAAAAGGGCUGGAAGAAGGUGGCACCCUCGGGUGUGUUAUAGCUUCCUGUCGUAUACGUCGGUUGGGACUGAGGAAUGCAGCUUGCCGCAAGGCCGGGGUUCGCCCACGUUCAAGCUUAGGAUGUUGACAUAAUGGCUUUAAACGACCCG
rnacentral:rRNA from 1 species